rnacentral:tRNA from 1 species
GGAUUGUGGCUCAAUGUUAAAGUGCUUGCCCAGCAUGUAUGAGGCCCUGGGUUCAAUCCUCAGCACCA